rnacentral:rRNA from 1 species
ACGGGAGGCAGCAGUGGGGAAUAUUGCACAAUGGGGGAAACCCUGAUGUAGCGACGCCGCGUGAGUGAAGAAGUAUUUCGGUAUGUAAAGCUCUAUCAGCAGGGAAGAAAAUGUCGGUACCUGACUAAGAAGCCCCGGCUAACUACGUGCCAGCAGCCGCGGUAAUACGUAGGGGGCAAGCGUUAUCCGGAUUUACUGGGUGUAAAGGGAGCGUAGACGGCAUGACAAGUCUGAAGUGAGAUCCCCGGGCUCAACCCGGGAACUGCUUUGGAAACUGCCAAGCUAGAGUGCAGGAGGGGCAAGCGGAAUUCCUAGUGUAGCGGUGAAAUGCGUAGAUAUUAGGAGGAACACCGGUGGCGAAGGCGGCUUGCUGGACUGUAACUGACGUUGAGGCUCGAAAGCGUGGGGAGCAAACAGGAUUAGAUACCCUGGUA